rnacentral:lncRNA from 1 species
AAAAUAUUACCCUAACUCAGAUUUCUACAAUGCUCGGUUAGGAACAUUACCUUCACUUACCUGGAAGAGUGCCUGGGCAGCAAGAGGGCUUUUAGAAAAAGGUAUGUGCUGAAGAAUUGGAAAAGGGAACCAUAUUUCUGUCUGGGAUGAUUUGUGGAUAUCAGGGGAUGAAGCAGAUAGAUUACAAAACCAAUAAAAUAAUGAAAAUAUCAGUUAGUUUCGGAUCUGAUAGAGGCCACUAUUAGAACUUGGAAAACAGAGGUGAUUAUGAAUACUUUUAAUUUGGCUGUUGUAAGGAAGAUCAUACAAAUUCCACUGGCAGAGAUAGAAUAUGAAGACUUUCAAGUAUGGAGAGGUGAACAGUCCGGUGAGUUCUCAGUCAGAAGCGUCUAUAAACCAUUACAGGAGUCUAGCGUGGAUCCUAAUAAUUACUUUAUACAAACCGAAAUAAAAAAAUUUAUAUAAAAAACUAUGGAAAUUAUAAAUCCCCUCAAAAGUAACAUUGACAAUUUAGAGAAUUUCUUAGAAUUUUAUUCCUUCCCUUGUGAACAUCAAGCAAAAGAAAGUGGUAGUAAAUGCACAAUGCCCUCGAUGUCGUCAAGAUGAAGAGAACAGUAACCACAUUUUUCGCCAGUGUCCUACAACUGUUGAGACUUGGAAUUACUUAAAUCUGUCUUAGGUACUGAAUAAUGAUAUUCAGAAUACGUGGGAGUGGCUUACUUGGGUCUUUGAACAGGAGACUAGUGAACAGAUCCGGUUUUUCUAUUGUGGACUCUGGUUGAUCUGGUUCAACAGGAAUAGAUUAGUAUAUGAAAAGAAAACUGCGACAGGAAGAGAUACAGCAAAACAGAUCCAAAUUUUCAUCUUAGAGUUCGAUGGGGCAAAAGAGAAAAAACUUACAUACCAGUCCAAUAGAAUUUGUCAACAGCAUGUUUGCGAAGCAAGGGUUACAGUCUAUUUUGGUGUAGCUUAUGACCAACAACAUUUCAGAUCGGCUUCAGGCUUGCUUGUACAAAAUGAAGAGGGGGAGAUCUUAGCAUCGAAAAUGGUCAAUCAUUCUGAUAUAGCUACUCCGUUCAUGGCAGAGGCUCAAGUAAGGUUACAAGCAAUGAAAUUAGGAAUCUUCAUGGGAUUAAACAAAAUGGAGGUAAUAGGUGACUCAAAAACUGUUAUAAAGAAAUGCCAAAGUCCCGAGAUUGAUAAAUCGACCAUUGGAGCAAUUAUUAGGGACAUUCAAAGCAUAAAAGACAAAUUUCAAGAGAUCGGUUUUCACUUUAUACCCAAAAUAGAGAAUAUUUAUGCUCAUGUUCUCGCGAAGAAGGCUCUAAGGAGGAGAGAAAAUUGUUACCUGGAAGGAGGGAUUCCAGACCACGUUCGUCAAGCUCUAGAGAGGAAUAGACCAAGGUAUCCGGAUUGAGAGGAAAUGAAGAUGGAAAUCUCUGGAAAGGAUAGUAGGUAAAUGAAAAGAUCUUUUUUUGAAAACUGUUAUCAUUAUGGCUGGGUCAGAACCGUGAAAAGACAGAGACUAUUGGCAUCCAGCUGUUGAUUUGACUGGGUUAGGAUUUGUUUUAUUUUUACCAUUUAGCUGAAGUUUCAUUCAGACAAUUUGGGCUAGUUUUAAAAGUUUUAAACCGGCUCCUCUUUUUAGUAGGCUUUUUGAUUUUCUUUUCUUCUUUUAGGUUUGGGCUAAAGGACUUUAGUCCAAUCUGCUUAUGUGUAAUUAGUUCUUUUAUUGAUUUCAGU